rnacentral:rRNA from 1 species
UACGAACCGUGCGAAUGUUGUUCGGGAUCACUGGGCUUAAAGGGCGCGUAGGCGGUCCGACAAGUCAGGGGUGAAAUCCUGCAGCUUAACUGCAGAAGUGCCUUUGAUACUGUCGGUCUCGAGGGAGAUAGGGGCGUGCGGAACUCACAGUGGAGCGGUGAAAUGCGUUGAUAUUGUGAGGAACGCCGGAGGCGAAAGCGGCGCACUGGAUCUCUUCUGACGCUGAGGCGCGAAAGCUAGGGGAGCAAACGGG